rnacentral:rRNA from 1 species
CUACGGGUUGCUGCAGUGGGGAAUAUUGGGCAAUGGGCGCAAGCCUGACCCAGCAACGCCGCGUGAGGGAAGAAGGUUUUCGGAUUGUAAACCUCUGUCCUUGGGGACGAAGAAGUGACGGUACCCAAGGAGGAAGCUCCGGCUAACUACGUGCCAGCAGCCGCGGCAAUACGUAGGGAGCAAGCGUUGUCCGGAAUUACUGGGCGGAAAGGGUGCGUAGGCGGCAUAUUAAGUCAGGUGUGAAAUACUCGGGCUCAACCCGGGGGCUGCAUUUGAAACUGAUAUGCUUGAGUGUGAGAGAGGAAAGUGGAAUUCCUAGUGUAGCGGUGGAAUGCGUAGAUAUUAGGAGGAACACCAGUGGCGAAGGCGACUUUCUGGCUCAUAACUGACGCUGAGGCACGAAAGCGUGGGGAGCAAACAGGAUUAGAUACCCCGGUAGUC